AGUGAACGCUGGCGGUAGGCCUAACACAUGCAAGUCGAACGGCAGCACAGUAAGAGCUUGCUCUUACGGGUGGCGAGUGGCGGACGGGUGAGAAAUACAUCGGAAUCUACUUUUUCGUGGGGGAUAACGUAGGGAAACUUACGCUAAUACCGCAUACGACCUACGGGUGAAAGCAGGGGAUCUUCGGACCUUGCGCGAUUGAAUGAGCCGAUGUCGGAUUAGCUAGUUGGCGGGGUAAAGGCCCACCAAGGCGACGAUCCGUAGCUGGUCUGAGAGGAUGAUCAGCCACACUGGAACUGAGACACGGUCCAGACUCCUACGGGAGGCAGCAGUGGGGAAUAUUGGACAAUGGGCGCAAGCCUGAUCCAGCCAUACCGCGUGGGAGAAGAAGGCCUUCGGGUUGUAAAGCCCUUUUGUUGGGAAAGAAAAGCAGCAGGUUAAUACCCCGCUGUUCUGACGGUACCCAAAGAAUAAGCACCGGCUAACUUCGUG
rnacentral:rRNA from 1 species